CCCCCCCCCCCCCCCCCAAAAACGGCCCGGCGGGAAGGAGGGAUGCUCCUGCCGUGGUCCCACACCAUGGCGAAGGGCUCUCCUCCUGCAGCCCCAACGUGCUAUUCUUAAGCGGCCACGGAGAAGGGCACAGCCGGUCGGUGGUAUUUGGCCGGGUCCUCUGUGUGCUUGGACAUCCCCCUGCCUGUCCAGCCUUGCUGCUGGAUACGUGACCCCAGCCUGUGCUGCAAACCCCGCUCCCCGUUCCAGCCCAGCGAGGCACCUGCUUUUCUGGCCAAACCAGACUCCACAGCAGCCAGGUCGGGAGUCUGGGUGUGAUGGUAUGAGCACACGGUGCCCUUCCCUGAAGCUCCUGCCUGCUUACAGCUCAGUCUUGUCCUGCUCCCGGAGCCUGCCGGCACCCUCGAGAGUGGAGCAGGACGUGGGAAGGGAGAAGUCGUGGCUGAGCAGGGCUGGAGAGAUGCAGCUCUACAAGGACAUCCAUCUCCUGCACUGCCCAUUCCCGAGCCAAAGGGGCUGAGCUAGUGUGUAGCAAGGGGACAGGGGCAUAAUAAGGGAUGCAGGGAGGUUUCACAGAGGCCAGAAGUGUUUUCCCUAACUCUGUGUUUGUUUGUGCUCAGGUCAGAGCCUUCCCAGCCCCGGAGAGGUGCUUGCUGCCGAGGAGCUGCUUACUUUGGCCUCAACUGAGAGGCCUCAGCCCAGGGUAAAGCAGCCCCAAACACUGCCCUGUUUGUGCUUCGGGAAGGGGCGUUUGUGGCUGUCCUGUCACGGUGGGAGCAGGCGAAAGAGCUGAAGGUUGUUUUCACCCCAGUGCCUGCCACAGGGGAUUCUCCAAACAGGAUCCCACCUCAUCCAGAUACGUGCAGAGCAGCAGGUAACCCCCACACUCCUGGUGUGCCUUUCGGGAGGGCCUCAGACUGAGCCACAGCACAGUGACAUCUAAAACGUGCCACCUCCCAGCCCCAUAUCCCUGUACUUCCUCCGCAGGGUAGGAGCAGCUGCUCACCCUGUGCAGGUACUCCAUGCUGAGGGUGAUGCCAGCAGCUUCCAGGACAGGAUGGAGCUGGACUAAGUUUUAGCUGCCCUACCUAAAAGCCCUUAGCCCCAUCCUUUGCACAGAGCUGUGCGUGCCUCCAUAUGCACAAGUGGGUGCCCACAGGGACAGGGAGUUCUGCCAGCUCCUGUGAUUGCUGGCAUUGCCUUGAUGCCCAGGGCCUGGGAACUUGAGAUUUUAACAAAAUGUCCUUCUCCUAAAGUCAUGGAGUAAAGCUAGGACACAUGAGGAAAUCUGGGAGGGCAGUAUGCCACUCCUGGUCCCCUGAGAAGUGCCACAGCCGCUACGGAGGAGGGACACCCAUGGGCACUGGCAGGGCAGUGCUGUGCUCUCGCUGGGAGUGGUGACAGCAGGUUUGGUGUGAUUUGGCCCUGGGGUCUUGUGCAUAUCUGUGAUGCUCUGGGGACCAGGAAGAGCAGGCUGGGCUGGGGCACAAGGCUGCUUCCAUGUGGUCAGGUCCAUCUGGAAGCCCCAGUGGAAGGGGGAGAAAGAAUAUAGGUGAAGGGUACUCCUUGUGUCCCUUGAAGUCUCUGCUGUGGGCCACCAAAGUCCCCCUUGGAAUCAGGGAGGGGUGGGAACCUGCUCUGGUUGGUGACCGGCAGCACCCCUGAGCCAUGCUGGGUGAUGCCAGCCAUGGUGGCAGCAAAGCAAAACCCUCCAGGAGCUGCCACAGCAGCAGCUGUAGUUCCCCAUGGGAUGCUCAGCCACUGGAUAAGGACCCUUGGCAGUGCUGACCCAGUGCCAAGACCCACAGGGCCCAGAGCCCAUUUGGUGCCUGGGGGACCCAAAUGUGCUCUGAGGAGGAGCAGCUGCCAAUGCUGUGCCGGCCCUGUGUCCCCUGGGAGGGGACAGUGUGUGCUCAGCCACGUGUGAAUGCACCGCCCACAGUCCAAAGGGCAGCUGAGCCCUGCCCAGGUGGCCCAGACUUUGCCUGCAGAUGAAUGACUCCUCUGCCUGCAAAACAGGCAGGACCCACCACGGGACCUGCCACGUCACUGUCAGUCCCUGCUGGACAGAGGGGAACAUGUGCUGUGGAGUCAUUGCUCAGGUCAUCUCUCAGCCCUCCUGGGGCUGUGUGGCCAGUGGAGCUCUCUUGGCAGGGACAAGUAGUAGCUAAGGUCAAGGAUGCAAAAGCUGUUUGUGAGCGUCUUAAUUCCCCCUCUGGGUUCCAUGCCAAAACACCUCCCUCACCUCAUGAUUACGUGUUCUCAAGUGCCACUGGCCUCUGAAGAGGCUGUAAGAUGGUGAGUGCUUUGAGCCCCUCUGCUGAAAUGCAGGAAUGAGGAGCUGGAUGCCAUGGCACUACAAGCUUUGGGUAUGCUGAGGACCCGUUGGCUUGGCUGUCCCCUGCCCUUUGCAAAAGGACCCCACUGGGGAUUUGUUUAGUGUCUGCUGGGCUCUGAAAGUUUGAAUACACUGCUAAAGCUUUUUGGAAGGAAGGCUGGAAAAGGUGACAGGCUGGGACUGAAAUAGCUGGGGCUGAUCUAGACCUCCACUGGAGAUAUUCGAAUAUCAAACUAUCCCGGGCACUGUGCCCCCACUGCCAGCUUGGGGCUGCCUCCAGGUGUGUCUGAUUCGCUGCGGGGUGGGACCAUCACUUGUGCCACAGAAAUAAGCUUCAAAAUAACUAAACAGCACAGUCUGCUACAGGUUUGAGCUUGCCUGGGACUGUGAGGAUGCACAUGGAUCCUACACCUCAUCCUGUCCCUCGGGUAGGGCUCUUCCCUUGCAUCCCUCCCAUGUCGCUCCACAGGGGUGACAGCACAGUUAUGGCUCUGGCUUUGUUUCUCUGCCAAGAGAUCCCCCAGCCUCCCCCUCUGACCCUGGAGCUGAACCCUCCCUCUGCAGGAAUGUUUUUCGGGGGGGGGGGGGAGGUUGGCACAAUUCCAGCUGCUGAGUUUUUCCAUGUCCAGAGACUGUCUCCUGCCUUAAAUGGCUCCAUGAUACAGGCUGUGUCUGCUCUCCUGCAAUCACCUAUUUAAGGAUUUUUUGGAUUCAGUCCCUAGCACAAAGUGGGACGAUACCAGCCCAGUGCCUUGCAGCUGAGCUGAGCUCCAUAGUGGGAUACUGGCGCAGACGGGGCUGGUUGCCCCGGGGUACCCUGCAGGGGUGUGCCUGGACACAGGCAGUCCAGUGCUGCUCCAGCUCUCCCAGGCCUCUUCUUUCCUUGUGUGCAGGUCAGAUUCCCUGCAUCAGGUCUGUGUUCUGGUCCCAGGGAAUCCUGGGCCACCAGCAGUGUGUGAGCCAGGAGGUGCAUCCCCUGUGCAGCGAUGUCCUUGCUGUGGGCAGCCCGUGACACCGAGGGAUGCUCCUGGGCCCCUCCGGCACAGCUCCUGCUCACGGCCUCACCACCCAGCCCCCUGAGCCCUCCUGUCCUCCACAGCAUCUUCCACCGCCCAGGAAACCUUCUUGCAAGCUCAGGCUGGACAUUAUGGGAACACUAGAAGCUCCUGGUGGGAAUGUCACUGGUAUCAGUAUCCAAGCUCCACGUCCCAGGGCACAACCUGCCCUAUGGAGAGGAUCCUGCCCCAGGAUACAAGCUGGAAAUUUGCUGCAGACCCCACAGAUGCAUCCCCAGGUGGAUGGCCCCUACCCAGGACAGAGAGGACCUAAAUGCUGGUGAGUUGCCAUUUUCCCUUGUGGCAGCAUCUGAGGGACACAGGGGACAGGGUGGGCAAGACUUAGGAGCUUACGAGGGAGAAUAGGGACAAUAGGAAGGGAGACAGUGGGAAGGAGCAGCCAGAGAAGGGGGAAACUUGUACCCUCCCAGACAACGAGCUGAGAUGAGGAGGUGCAAAGGCUGCUGGAGAAACCCAGUAAUGCUGCUCAAGGCUGGGCAGAGCAGUCCAGGAAAUUGGGAUGGGGUCUGAGGAGCCCAGGCUGGACUGGCAUCUGCCAGGGCAAGGUUUAGGAUUCACUGAGCAGAGGGAGAAGGAUGUGACGACUGCUGUGGAACUCGGUUGAGCACCUGGAGUAGGAGAGGUGCGAUGUGGAAAGGCACACGCUUGCAGGGGCGUGACCUCUGGAAGUCACAGCACAUGGGGCAGCUGUGAAACAGCUCCCUCAGUCCUGGCAUUUCUGGACGGUGUGCAUGGAUCAGGGAAGCCUCAUGGCAAAACACCCUCCUCACUGCCCACUCUGGGCUCUGGGGAGAGGGACAAGCCAGCCUAGCCACGGCCCUGCCCAGCUCCAGGGCAGGGGGCAGCAGGGGCCUGUUCUGUAGGGGAACUCCAUGAAGGCCAAGGUAUCAUGUAGUAAAGAUGCUUUUGUUUUCUAAUCUCCUUAAAAAAAAGUUUCCCAGCCCUAGGAAACUGGAUGUCAGCAGUGUGCUCUGCCAGCUGCAGGGUGCUCCAAGGUGGGCCAAGUCCAACCUUCAGCUGCCAAGGGGGGCUCAGACAGCAGCUGUCGGGAAGAACCUGGGGGGACCAAGGCACCCACCACUUCUGUUCACCCCACUGGAAGCCCCUUGUCCCACACCACAUUUCCAUCACGUGAUCAAGAGUUAAUUUUGACGCUGCCGGGAGCGUUUGGACUUUCCCUGUUCCGCCAGCCCUGUCAGAUGGUGAGAGAAGCUCCUCGGCUGCCGACCACGUUUGUCUUCUCCAGCAGGCAGUGGCCUCUGCACUGGUGUCACAGCACUGAGCCGAGAUGCUGCUGAAGGUUGUACCCAGAACACCUGCCAGCCGGGCUAGGAGAAGGUCACACGGCCCCUGCUGGAUGUCACCGUGUCCCGCUGUCCCUCCCUGCCAGACGCUCCUCGGCGCCAGCCCACGUUAAUUAACCCUAACGAGGCUCCGUGCACAGCCAGCGCUUCGGUGAUCCGGGAAUCUGCAGCUGGAUCAGCUGGUCACUGUGACCGCGGUCACAGCCCGGCAUGGCGUCCCUCGGGAUUUUAAAGGAGUGGGAGCGAGAAUCAGCUCCCAGGGAGAUGUCCGGGACCCACAUUUGGGACCGCAGAGGCACAGCCCAUGUGUAAGAGACAGUUUGCUGAGUGAUGAAAGAGCAAUUAUCAACUCAGCUGGAGGCAGAGUUGCUCCUGUUUGAUUUUCCAAGGAAAAUUAUUCCAACUUCUUUCCCCGCCUCUGCCGCCCCUCCCCAGCUUGUUUCCUUUCAGUGAGAAUCACCGAAGAAAUAAAAGAAAUCGAGGAUUUUCUAAAGUUUUACGCUGGUUUGCUGGAUUCUCUCCCGCAAGUGG